rnacentral:rRNA from 1 species
GGAGGUGGCGGGUGGGUGAGUUAUUUUCCCCGCCCGUCUUACUCUCCGGCCCCUCGCGUUCAGAGUAGUUCUCGCCGACCAAUACUCCUGUGAGAGGGGGCGCAGGCCCGGGACUUGUCAAUACGGCACACGCCUCAACCCUCCUCUUGGGGGGGGGGGAGGACCGUGUAGUCGACAAGUACCUUGAGCAUACAUGUUAGUACCCGAAAGAUGGUGAACUAUGCCUGGCCAGGAUGAAGCCAGAGGAAACUCUGGUGGAGGUCCGAAGCGGCUCUGACGUGCAAAUCGAUCGUCUGAGUUGGGUAUAGGGGCGAAAGACCAAUCGAACCAUCUAGUAGCUGGUUCCCCCCGAAGUUUCCCUUAGGAUAGCUGGUGACCCGUCUUGAAGCACGGACCAAGGAGUCUAGCAUGUGUGCAAGUCAUUGGAUUGCUGAAAUCUACUACUCUCAAACUUUAAAUGGGUGAGAUGUCAUGCUUGCUUGACUGGUGAAGCAUCGACGAUAAAUCAGAGUACCAAGUGGGCCAAUUUUGGUAAGCAGAACUGGCGCUGUGG